GAAGAUUGAGAACAAAAAUUUUUUUUGGCCUAAUCGUGUUCUUUCUCUUCCUCUCUCUCUCGCUCUCUGUCGCGAACCUCUCAAUCCGAGGAUAUUCUUGGAUCAGUUAGUGCUGAUUACAGAGGACUCUCAGAUUGAGCUUUUGUUGAAGGAAGUGAAAGGAAAAGACUUAACUGAGCUAAUUGCUGGUGGAAGGGAGAAGCUUGCUUCAGUGCCGUCUGGUGGUCGUGGUGUUGCUAUGGCUUCUGCUCCAUCCGCUGGAGGAGGAGGCGGUGGUGCCCCUGCAGCUGAGUCCAAGAAAGAA